UUUCAACAACGGAUCUCUUGGGUCCAGCAUCGAUGAAGAACGCAGCGAAAUGCGAUAAGUAAUGUGAAUUGCAGAAUUCAGUGAAUCAUCGAAUCUUUGAACGCACAUUGCGCCCCUCGGUAUUCCGGGGGGGCAUGCCUGUUCGAGCGUCAUUACACCCCUC
rnacentral:rRNA from 1 species